rnacentral:lncRNA from 1 species
CAAGAUAAAAUUAAUAUACAAUAUAUUUGGAUUUAGUUAUAUGCGGGCUUCUUUACUUACCGAUUUACAUCCUUAGGCCUAAUUCCUAAAAUAGGCUACGAUUGCAUCUGGGUUGGAUAAACCAUACACACCAUAGACCACCUCUGGGUUGGAUAAAUCAUAGACACCAUAUCAUACCAACCUCCCAUAAGUUUCAUGUUUGCUCUGCAUAAAAGGGGCAAUGUUGGGAUUAUUUGGUCUAGCCUCCAUGUCCUACAUGGGUCUUACUUGCUUAUUCCAGUUAUCACAUACACCACAUUUUUCUCUAGAAAGCACGACAUACAUUUUUCGCCGAAUAUUUCAAACAUAACGAACACUACAUCACAAACUCAGUAACAUAUGGUUGAAACACACAACUUAGUAUUUCUCCCAAAACGAGAGAGAAGUUAUUACACUCAGCUGCCCAACCAUAUGUGAACACAUCAUGCAUCGCCGGAUCCAACAAUUCUCAUUUUGAGAUCAUAAGCUUUGGCAAACAAUUCCUCUCUGUUUUCCUGCAAGUGGUAAAUAAGUGGUGAAAAGGUUGAACAUAGUAGAGUGCACACCAAAAGAAAGUACUUAUGAAGCAAAUAGAUACAUACCUUGAAAAGAAGAUACCGUGAGCUGAACCAAACCGUGUAUCC